UAACCUGCCCAAGAGAUCGGGAUAACACCUGGAAACAGAUGCUAAUACCGGAUAACAACAGAUGAUGCCUAUCAACUGUUUAAAAGAUGGUUCUGCUAUCACUCUUGGAUGGACCUGCGGUGCAUUAGCUAGUUGGUAGGGUAACGGCCUACCAAGGCGAUGAUGCAUAGCCAGUUGAGAGACUGAUCGGCCACAUUGGGACUGAGACACGGCCCAAACUCCUACGGGAGGCAGCAGCC
rnacentral:rRNA from 1 species